rnacentral:rRNA from 1 species
UACGUAGGGGCAAGCGUUGUCCGGAAUCAUUGGGCGUAAAGGGUGCGUAGGCGGCGCGGUAAGUCGGGUGUGAAAUUUCGGAGCUUAACUCCGAAACUGCAUUCGAUACUGCGGUGCUUGAGGACUGGAGAGGAGACUGGAAUUCAUGGUGUAGCAGUGAAAUGCGUAGAGAUCAUGAGGAGGACCAGUGGCGAAGCGGGUCGUCUGGACAGUUCCUGACACUGGAGACACGAAGGCCAGGGGAGCAAACGGG